rnacentral:rRNA from 1 species
ACUCCUACGGGAGGCAGCAGUGAGGAAUAUUGGACAAUGGGCGGGAGCCUGAUCCAGCCAUGCCGCGUGCAGGAAGACGGCCCUAUGGGUUGUAAACUGCUUUUAUACGGGAAGAAACACUCCCUCGUGAGGGAGCUUGACGGUACCGUAAGAAUAAGGAUCGGCUAACUCCGUGCCAGCAGCCGCGGUAAUACGGAGGAUCCAAGCGUUAUCCGGAAUCAUUGGGUUUAAAGGGUCCGUAGGCGGGACAAUAAGUCAGCGGUGAAAGUCUGUGGCUCAACCAUAGAAUUGCCAUUGAUACUGUUGUUCUUGAGUGUUUAUGAAGUGGUUGGAAUAUGUAGUGUAGCGGUGAAAUGCAUAGAUAUUACAUAGAACACCGAUUGCGAAGGCAGAUCACUAAUAAAAUACUGACGCUGAUGGACGAAAGCGUAGGUAGCGAACAGGAUUAGAUACCCUGGUAGUCUACGCCGUAAACGAUGGUUACUAGCUGUUCGGUCGUAAGACUGAGUGGCUAAGCGAAAGUGAUAAGUAACCCACCUGGGGAGUACGUUCGCAAGAAUGAAACUCAAAGGAAUUGACGGGGGCCCGCACAAGCGGUGGAGCAUGUGGUUUAAUUCGAUGAUACGCGAGGAACCUUACCAGGGCUUAAAUGUAGUUUGACCGAUUUGGAAACAGAUCUUUC